rnacentral:sRNA from 4 species
CUGUAGCACUCGUACACUGCCGUUUCUGCGUCGUCCGCGCACACCUGACGACUGCUUGCUACGGUUUGGUAGCU